rnacentral:rRNA from 1 species
AGUGAACGCCGGCGGUAGGCCUAACACAUGCAAGUCGAACGGCAGCACAGAGGAGCUUGCUCCUUGGGUGGCGAGUGGCGGACGGGUGAGGAAUACAUCGGAAUCUACUCUGUCGUGGGGGAUAACGUAGGGAAACUUACGCUAAUACCGCAUACGACCUACGGGUGAAAGCAGGGGAUCUUCGGACCUUGCGCGAUUGAAUGAGCCGAUGUCGGAUUAGCUAGUUGGCGGGGUAAAGGCCCACCAAGGCGACGAUCCGUAGCUGGUCUGAGAGGAUGAUCAGCCACACUGGAACUGAGACACGGUCCAGACUCCUACGGGAGGCAGCAGUGGGGAAUAUUGGACAAUGGGCGCAAGCCUGAUCCAGCCAUACCGCGUGGGUGAAGAAGGCCUUCGGGUUGUAAAGCCCUUUUGUUGGGAAAGAAAUCCAGCCGGCUAAUACCUGGUUGGGAUGACGGUACCCAAAGAAUAAGCACCGGCUAACUUCGUGCCAGCAGCCGCGGUAAUACGAAGGGUGCAAGCGUUACUCGGAAUUACUGGGCGUAAAGCGUGCGUAGGUGGUUAUUUAAGUCCGUUGUGAAAGCCCUGGGCUCAACCUGGGAACUGCAGUGGAUACUGGAUGACUAGAAUGUGGUAGAGGGUAGCGGAAUUCCUGGUGUAGCAGUGAAAUGCGUAGAGAUCAGGAGGAACAUCCAUGGCGAAGGCAGCUACCUGGACCAACAUUGACACUGAGGCACGAAAGCGUGGGGAGCAAACAGG